UCGAUGUCGGCUCAUCGCCACCUGGGGCGGAAGUACGUUCCAAGGGUUGGGCUGUUCGCCCAUUAAAGCGGUACGUGAGCUGGGUUCAGAACGGAAACAACACUGCGUUGGUUGGCAGUAAUGUCAACCUAGCAUCGGCUUAUAUCGGUGAAGCCUUCUUUAGUUGCGAACCGACUGAAAUGGUAAUACCGAGGGAAGACUCUAUGAACACAAUACAAUAACUCAGUUGCAAAAAGAAAUAUUAUAUCGCUGUUUGCUUUUUUUCAAGAUUGAGAUGGUUGCAUAAAUAUACAAAUUGUUGCAAUGAAGAAUUAUCAACGUCGUCAUUGGUUUCUUCUGUAGCUCAACAGUAAACUUCAAUAUGGUACCGUUCAACAACGUCCCGAUGGAAUAUCAGAAUAUGCCAUAGUUAGAUCUAAGAAUGUUCAGUCAAUCUUAGAAUUGCUGAAACCAAUGCUUAGAUGAAAGCGUAAACAAGCUGAGUUGAUAUUCCUAAGUUAUGUGAAUUGGUAGAUACUUUGGCUGAAAUUAAUGAUUGGAAAAAAAGAAUGGACAAUUACUGCUUCAAUUUCUCAAUUUCAACUUUUUGAAGGUUUCUCUAGGAAGCUAAAUCCAGAUUCAAGCCAAGCCAAAAUUGAUAGAGUCCCCGUAGAGACUGAGACCUAAUUUAACAACGGGUCGAGAUAGCUGCAGAUUUCACUGCAGGUAUAAAACGCCGACUCCUAUACUUUCAUAUAAGGAUGAAGAUAUAGUCCAUGCCUAUUGAAAACAGUAGGAAAACAUGCGUGAGACAGUUCGGUCCAUAUCCAGUGCGGGCGUUAGAGCAUUGAGAGGACCUUUUCCUAGUACGAGAGGACCGG
rnacentral:rRNA from 1 species